ACAGGCACUCCUUUCCUCUCCUCCAGGCAAACGUCUAAAGAUUUCAAAGAGACAAUCAUCUGGAAAAACUUCAAUAGAUGCCUCCCUUUUCUGCUCAAACCUUUCUCCACUGAAAACAAAUGAAGCACUGAUGCGAGACCUCUUGCAGGAAGGAAAAUACACAUCCACAUGACGACCAGGGGACAAAAAGAGGCUAGGCUCCUUGGGGUUUGUGUAUAUUGACCCCCCAGGGCAAAAAUCAUCAUCUCCAGCGAAUCCAAAGAGCUUAGACAUGAGUUGAGCUCCAAAAACCCCGGGAGGUAAAAUUCACACGGUCCACCGAGAAACCCUCCAAAGAGAGCAAAAAAGAAAUACCCAAAAACAAUAAACGCUAACAAACCAACGUAUAGAGCUUGAAAACCAGAAUGCAUGAGAGAGAUCAGAGCUACAAGGACAUGGAAACCCUAUGAUGUAGGGCAAAAAGAGAGAGAAAAAAAAGAU
rnacentral:misc_RNA from 1 species